GAUGAACGCUGGCGGCGUGCCUAAUACAUGCAAGUCGAGCGAACAGAUGAGGAGCUUGCUCCUCUGACGUUAGCGGCGGACGGGUGAGUAACACGUGGAUAACCUACCUAUAAGACUGGGAUAACUUCGGGAAACCGGAGCUAAUACCGGAUAAUAUAUUGAACCGCAUGGUUCAAUAGUGAAAGACGGUUUUGCUGUCACUUAUAGAUGGAUCCGCGCCGCAUUAGCUAGUUGGUAAGGUAACGGCUUACCAAGGCAACGAUGCGUAGCCGACCUGAGAGGGGGAUCGGCCACAUGGGAACUGAGACCCGGUCCAGACCCCUACGGGAGGCAGCAGUAGGGAAUCUUCCGAAAGGGGCGAAAGCUUGACGGAGCAACGCCGGGGGGGGGAAGAAGGUCUUCGGACCGAAAAACUUUUUUAUUGGGGAAAAAAAAAUGUGUAAGUAACUAUGCCCUUUUUGACGGUACCUAAUCAGAAAGCCCCGGUUAACUACGU
rnacentral:rRNA from 1 species